rnacentral:rRNA from 1 species
UACGGGGGGGGCAAGCGUUGUUCGGAAUUACUGGGCGUAAAGGGCUCGUAGGUGGCCAACUAAGUCGGACGUGAAAUCCCUCGGCUUAACCGGGGAACUGCGUCCGAUACUGGUUGGCUUGAGUUGGGAGAGGGAUGCGGAAUUCCAGGUGUAGCGGUGAAAUGCGUAGAUAUCGGGAGGAACACCAGUGGCGAAGGCGGUUGCCUGGAGCUUUGCUGACGCUGAUGCGCGAAAGCGUGGGGAGCGAUCCGG